UAAACGUCUCAGUUCGGAUUGUAGUCUGCAACUCGACUACAUGAAGCUGGAAUCGCUAGUAAUCGCGAAUCAGAAUGUCGCGGUGAAUACGUUCCCGGGUCUUGUACACACCGCCCGUCACACCAUGGGAGUCGGAAAUGCCCGAAGUCAGUGACCUAACCGAGAGGGAGGAGCUGCCGAAGGUGGAGCCGGUAACUGGGGUGAAGUCGUAACAAGGUAGC
rnacentral:rRNA from 1 species